rnacentral:rRNA from 1 species
GAUGAACGCUGGCGGCGUGCCUAAUACAUGCAAGUCGAGCGAUGAAGGGUGAUACUUGUUUCACUUGGAUGAGCAGCGGACGGGUGAGUAACGCGUGGGGAAUCUGCCUUUGAGCGGGGGACAACAUCUGGAAACGAAUGCUAAUACCGCAUAAAAUUUUUAACCACAUGUUUCAAGUUUGAAAGACGCUCUUGCAUCACUCAAUGAUGAUCCCGCGUUGUCUUAGCUAGUUGGUGAGGUAAAGGCUCUCCAAGGCGAAGAUACAAAGCCGACCUGAGAGGGGGGAUGGCCACAACGGGAAUGAGACACAGGCCAAACUCCCACAGGGAGGAGCAGGAGGGGAACUUCGGCAAAGGAGGAAAAUCUGGCCGGGGAACGGCGCGGGGGGGAAGGAAGGUUUCGGGCCGGAAAAAUCUGUUUGUAAGGGAAGACGAUGGGGGGAGUGAAAAGCGCAUAAAGUGACGGUAACUACCCAGAAAGGGACGGCUAACUACGUG